rnacentral:misc_RNA from 1 species
AAUACUUCUGGUUGUUCAUUAUUCAAGAGUUAUUUGUUAGGCAAAUCAUAACAUCCAAAAAUAAUGUUUUGCUUAGUAUAGGGUUAUAUUUUUGCCUAAGCCUAAAGGUGCUAAACAUUUUUAGUUUACCAUUGAUGUUUCAUAGUCACCAAAUUCCCUCAGCCCCUUGUGCACUGCGUUUUGGGUUGUGCGUUUUGAAUCAAGGGACGUUUGAGUUCCAAAUCGCUAGGGGAUGUGACUUAGGUUGCCAAAAUAGAGGUUUUAGGAAAAUUAAAGGAAGAAGAAAAGAAGACAAAAAGAAGAAAGAUCAAAAGACAUGCAUGUGUAGUAGCUUGCAGGCCCAGGAAGAAAAAGAAUAAAGGUGUAGCAAUGAAAGAUGAAGAAGAAAGGACAUUUUGAAAGUCUAAAUUAUUAAAAGUGGGGAAGGUGGACAUAAAUAUAAAGUGUGGCUCUUGGAUUUACUUUUUGGUGGGUUAGGUGGCAAUGUAAUAUUGGUCUUGGGUGUCAAAUGAGUACUUUAUUAGCGGAAAAUUAAAACUGUUUAGAAAAUACAAACAUUUUUAACUAUUAAUCAUAUAUUCUUUUAAUAAUAAUAAUAAUAAUAA